GUUAAGCGACUAAGCGUACACGGUGGAUGCCCUGGCAGUCAGAGGCGAUGAAGGGCGUGCUAAUCUGCGAUAAGCGCCGGUAAGGUGAUAUGAACCGUUAUAACCGGCGAUACCCGAAUGGGGAAACCCAGUGUGAUUCGUCACACUAUCAUUAACUGAAUCCAUAGGUUAAUGAGGCGAACCGGGGGAACUGAAACAUCUAAGUACCCCGAGGAAAAGAAAUCAACCGAGAUUCCCCCAGUAGCGGCGAGCGAACGGGGAGGAGCCCAGAGCCUGAAUCAGCAUGUGUGUUAGUGGAAGCGUCUGGAAAGGCGCGCGAUACAGGGUGACAGCCCCGUACACAAAAGCGCAUGUGCUGUGAGCUCGAUGAGUAGGGCGGGACACGUGGUAUCCUGUCUGAAUAUGGGGGGACCAUCCUCCAAGGCUAAAUACUCCUGACUGACCGAUAGUGAACCAGUACCGUGAGGGAAAGGCGAAAAGAACCCCGGCGAGGGGAGUGAAAAAGAACCUGAAACCGUGUACGUACAAGCAGUGGGAGCCCCACCACCAAAGCAUUCUCUGGUGUUGAAGGCCCUGCAAAGCAGCAUCGCGGUGGCGGAGCGUCGUUUGCGACGCCCAACACACAAAACAAGCGGU
rnacentral:rRNA from 1 species